GCUAGUUGGUGAGGUAACGGCUCACCAAGGCUACGAUGUCUAGGGGUCCUGAGAGGGUUUCCCCCCACACUGGUACUGAGACACGGACCAGACUCCUACGGGAGGCAGCAGUAAGGAAUAUUGGUCAAUGGACGCAAGUCUGAACCAGCCAUGCCGCGUGCAGGAUGACUGCCCUACGGGUUGUAAACUGCUUUUGUUUGGGAAGAAUCUCUCGUACGUGUACGGGAUUGACGGUACCUUACGAAUAAGCAUCGGCUAACUCCGUGCCAGCAGCCGCGGUAAUACGGAGGAUGCAAGCGUUAUCCGGAUUCAUUGGGUUUAAAGGGUGCGCAGGCGGAAUGGUAAGUCAGUGGUGAAAUCCCCCGGCUCAACCGGGGAACUGCCAUUGAUACUGCUAUUCUUGAGUACACAUGAGGUGGGCGGAAUGUAUCAUGUAGCGGUGAAAUGCAUAGAUAUGAUACAGAACACCGAUAGCGUAGGCAGCUCACCAAAGUGUAACUGACGCUCAGGCACGAAAGCGUGGGGAGCAAACAGGAUUAGAUACCCUGGUAGUCCACGCUGUAAACUAUGAUCACUCGCUGUUAGCAAUACAUCGUUAGCGGCUAAGCAAAAGCAUUAAGUGAUCCACCUGGGGAGUACGGCCGCAAGGUUGAAACUCAAAGGAAUUGACGGGGGCCCGCACAAGCGGAGGAGCAUGUGGUUUAAUUCGAUGAUACGCGAGGAACCUUACCAAGGCUUAAAUGCAGAACGACAUUCCCGGAAACGGGAACUUCCUUCGGGACGGACUGCAAGGUGCUGCAUGGUUGUCGUCAGCUCGUGCCGUGAGGUGUCGGGUUAAGUCCCAUAACGAGCGCAACCCCUAUUCUUAGUUGCCAUCAGGUAAUGCUGGGGACUCUAAGAAAACUGCCUACGCAAGUAGUGAGGAAGGUGGGGAUGACGUCAAAUCAGCACGGCCCUUAUGCCUUGGGCUACACACGUGCUACAAUGGCCAGUACAGAGGGUAGCUACCUGGUAACAGGAUGCUAAUCUCGAAAGCUGGUCUCAGUUCGGAUCGAAGUCUGCAACUCGAC
rnacentral:rRNA from 1 species